rnacentral:rRNA from 1 species
UACGGUGGGAGCAAGCGUUGUUCGGAUUUACUGGGCGUAAAGGGCGCGUAGGCGGUCAGCACAAGUCAGUUGUGAAAUCUCCGGGCUUAACUCGGAAAGGUCAACUGAUACUGUGCGACUAGAGUGCGGAAGGGGCAACUGGAAUUCUCGGUGUAGCGGUGAAAUGCGUAGAUAUCGAGAGGAACACCUGCGGCGAAGGCGGGUUGCUGGGCCGACACUGACGCUGAGGCGCGAAAGCCAGGGGAGCGAACGGG